AACUCCUGUCUUAUAUAGCCUUUUCUCUCUCUCCCUUCCCCUCCCCUGCCCAAAUUCUUCUCGCCUUUCCCUUCCUCCUGUCCUCAUCGUCGCGGCCCUUCCGAACUAGGGUUUCUCGCCUCUCCUGCCCGGCCACCGCUCCCAUCAGCCAUGUCGAAGCAAGGAGGCAAGGCCAAGCCGCUGAAGGCGCCCAAGGCCGCGGAGAAGGACUACGACGAGACUGACCUUGCAUAUCUUCAGAAGAAGAAGGAUGAGCAAAAGGCACUGAAGGAGCUUAAGGCCAAGGCAACCCAGAAGGGUGCUCUGGGAGGUUCUGGUCUGAAGAAGAGUGGGAAGAAAUAAGGCUAGCUAUCCGUAUGUAGUGCCCAGAAAAUGAUGAAUCGUCUACAUAUCUGUGUUGCGCUUCAGUAUUUAUGGUUGUAACAAACUACCUUAAGUGUGUCGAGCGUCAAGCAACGCCUCUAUCCAAGUGUGUUUCAGCCUAUCUUAGCUAUGAUGCGGGUGCUUCUCUAUGAUAAUAAUCUGAUAUGAUGGAACACGGAAAUUUGUAGUGUUCGUGCCCAAGCUUCUCAUUUUGCUUUGGCAGUUUGAUUGUCUUCGUCACUUGGCAUA